GAGUGGCAGACGGGUGAGUAACACGUGGGAACGUGCCCUUUGGUUCGGAACAACACAGGGAAACUUGUGCUAAUACCGGAUAAGCCCGGGGAAAGAUUUAUCGCCAAAGGAUCGGCCCGCGUCUGAUUAGCUAGUUGGUGGGGUAACGGCCCACCAAGGCUACGAUCAGUAGCUGGUCUGAGAGGAUGAUCAGCCACACUGGGACUGAGACACGGCCCAGACUCCUACGGGAGGCAGCAGUUAGGAAUCUUGGACAAUGGGCGCAAGCCUGAUCCAGCCAUGCCGCGUGAGUGAUGAAGGCCUUAGGGUUGUAAAGCUCUUUCAGCGGGGAAGAUAAUGACGGUACCCGCAGAAGAAGCCCCGGCUAACUUCGUGCCAGCAGCCGCGGUAAUACGAAGGGGGCUAGCGUUGCUCGGAAUCACUGGGCGUAAAGCGCACGUAGGCGGGUCUUUAAGUCAGGGGUGAAAUCCUGGAGCUCAACUCCAGAACUGCCUUUGAUACUGAGGAUCUCGAGUCCGGGAGAGGUGAGUGGAACUCCGAGUGUAGAGGUGAAAUUCGUAGAUAUUCGGAAGAACACCAGUGGCGAAGGCGGCUCACUGGCCCGGUAC
rnacentral:rRNA from 1 species